CUGUCUCUGCCUCUGUCUCUCUGUGUCUCUCAAGAAUAAAUAAAUGAAACCUUAAAAAAAAAAAAAAAAAAAAAGAACAAAAUGAAAGAGAGCAAGUCUGGACAGCCAGACCUCUCGGCCUGGUAACCAUUCAACCCCCAGAAUCCCCAGUUUGGUUCAAUGUUAGGAACAUCAGAAUCUCCUGGAAAUCUGUUAAACAGAUUGCUGGGUUCCAGCUCAGAGUUUCUGAUUCAGUAGUACAGGAGGUAGCUGGAGAAUAUGCAUUUCUAACAAGUUCCCCGCUGAGGCUGCUGCUGGUGGUCCAGCACACUUUGAGCCCCACUGCCCUACUGCAAGUUGGGGGGAGUCAUCUUCCACAUUGCCAGCUCUGAGUCCACACCACUGUUGUAAUAUUAAGCAUUUCUGACCAUGGUUCUCAGCCUCUGCUGCACAUGGAAUCACCUGGAGAAUUAUCAAAACAUACUACUACCAACACCCCAGUUAGAGAUAACUGAUUUAAUUGAUCUGAGGUAGUUCUCAGGCAUAGGUUCAAAAAAGCUCCCCAGAUGAUUCUGGUGUGCAGCAGAGGUUGAGAACCUCUGUUCUACAAACUUCAAAUGUUAAGAUAGUUUCAUAUAAGGAAUGAUUUAUGGAGUCACCUUGCUCAGGGCUUGGUACACAGAACAGCUAAGUAAAUAUUAACUGGACAUGAAUCUCUAUAUUUUGCUUAAGAUCUCAAUAGAUUCUGUUCCCUGAGAGGUGUGGAGAACUGCAGCAGUUUACUGUCUUGGCAUUUUCCAUGGGGCCCCCUGAAGAGCUGUGCCUCUCAAGCAUUUUUAAAGCACUUUAUUGAGUGCCUACUCCAUGCCUGCCACAGUGACGGUGCUAAGAGGAAUGAAACACAUUCCUUGCCAUCCGUAAUCCUAGGCCAGCCACCUUCCCAUUCCAGAAUUGCCCAGGAGGGAAGGACAAGUCCCGAAACAGUCAGGAAUUGGUAUGCUCCUGGAUCCAGGUCACAUAGCUGGCCACGUCGGUGUACACACCUGGCUUGUAGCGGUCGCCACAACCUGAACCCCAGCUGAUGAUACCUCGCAGGAUGAGCUGGCGCUCUGAGGCCUCUUCCUCACACACUAGUGGGCCCCCGGAGUCACCCUGGGUCGGGGACACGAGGCUCAGCGCACUUGGUUUGGGGUCUGCACUUGACCGGGUGGAGGGCGCCAAGGCGGCCCACGGACUCACCUGGCAGGCGUCGGUGCCGCCCUCGAGGAAGCCAGCGCAGAGCAUGCCCGGGAUAAAAGAGGCUCCGUGUACUUCGGGGGCGGAGCAGCGCUGGGGAGGGAUGAGCGGCACCUGCGCUUCCUGCAGGAAGCUGGAAUAUUCCCCCGCACCUACGAACCGAGAGCGCUUUCCUCACACUCCUCUCGACUUUGCUUGCCGCCCACUAAUUAGCCGGUGAGGAAGAGAGUUGCUCUUAACACCAUUUUACAGACAAAACAGAGAAGAGCGAGGAUUUGAAUGGGCGGGGCGGAGCAGGACUGCUUUGGAACCCCACUCCCCACUCCCACCCCCCAGUGUCUCAGAACAAUGCUCCCCAGCGAGCGAACCGACUGCUCCAGCGCGAGGCCGGCAUCCUUAGCCGUUGCAUCACAGCGCCCAGAAAGAACCAAGGGAAAGUGUGAUUCCCCCUGGACCCCUUAGGAGAUUUGGAUCCCCGUCCCCAGCAGUGAAGCCCAGGACCUGGCAGGAGCUGACUGCGACGGCCCCCAGUCCUCCCCACGCGCAAGGUCGGCGCCGCCUGUCCCUCGUGGUGCCCAAACUGCGGGUUUUUCUCGCCUACCCCGGGGCCAGAGGUGUCCCUGCCGCCCCCAGCCUUCUGCCUACCCUCGAAUAGGUGGCCCCAGCCGGCCACCUCGCAGAGUGCGGCCUCGGCCUGGGCCUCGGCUGGGCGGGCAGCGCCGCUAGGCAGGCAGACCGGCUGAACGAAAGGCGACGGGAGCGCGCAGCGGCCGUCCGCCGUCUCCUGCAGGCGCAGCAGCGCUAACCAGGCGGGGAGCACGGUGAGCCCCGGGCGCCGGGACUCCGAGCCCGCCUCCGCCCUUUCCCCUGGGCGCCGCGGGGCGCCGCCACGCACCCAGGUCGUGCUGGCACUUCCUGGUAGCUGGCCUCGGAGGCCCACCGCUGACACCGAGCGCCCGAGAGCGCAGCAUCGGCCGCUCCGCGGUAGUCAAGCCCGCGGCCGUGGUAGCAGCGCGCCUCAGUGUCUGGGGAGAGAGGAGACUCCUUGCAGCCCGGAACCACGCUCUCAGCCACUUUCCCCACGCUCCUCCGCCCUUCCUCCCUGGGGGCGGAGCUCCCGCUCCUCUGGGUGCCGACUCACCCACGUCGCAGAAGCGUCCAGCGUAGCCGGUGGGGCAACGGCACAGGCGGUGAGUCUCUGCCUGGAAGCAAGUGCCUCCGUUGAGGCACGGGUUGGUGUGGCAGCCUGGCAGGUGGAGUGCAUUGAGCCACCUCUGGGCCCAAAGACCCCCACAGAGAACUCCCCUUUCCUUGGACACACUACCCUGGGGUUCUAACAGCUUCUCUUCCCGACUCAGGCCAGUUCUCCGCCCAUCCACUCACCCUGGCUGGCCACCAGCUUGCAGUGGACAUCAGGACCCCUGCACUCGCACUUGGCCACACCGGCUGGCUCAAGCCUAUGCCAUAUUUCUUUUUCAUGGAAGAACUGGAGAAGCUGAGGCUCAAAGCACUUCUCUGGGGACAAAGGGGUGAGGGCAGGGGUCUCAGGAGAGGCUGGGAUCAUGCCAAGUCUCUGGGGAUCCAGAGACCUCUUCAGUAGGCCCCGGACUGCCGUGUUUCCUCAGCAUCUCCUCCCCUGCCUUCACCAUCUCCUUACCUCUCUGGCAGUGCUUCCCAGUGAAGUGUUCUGGACAGAUGCAGCGUGGGCCGUCUGGCAUGUUCACACAGGUCCCUCCCUUCUGGCAGGGACUGUGUUUGCUGCAGUGGUCUGAGAGAUGGACACAGUGGAAGUAAGAGUGGGGAGCCUGAAUCAGACAGCCUGGCUCAUGGAGGCCGAGUCCCUACCCAAACCUUGCUUGUCUUGUGAUCUUGGCAUUCCAAGUUUCCAUGUUUUACUUCACCCACCUGUAAAAUGGGGCUACCUUUUCCUAGAACUUUUCCCUCUGGAGGGAUGGAAGAGUCUGGGUGGGCCCAGAAUACCAGGUGUGUAGGGACUGAUGUUACCCAGGAGAGUAACUAGUGGGGAGGAGAGGGCCCUGCACCACCCCCAAAGACUGUGUGUAGCACCUUUCACUUUCUUGGGCUCCAGACAGUAUGCCCAUUGCUGGUCCUGCUCGAAGUUGGGGGUGGUAGCACACCUGUAGAAAGAGAUGAAGCUUCCCUGCUCUGCCCAAGGGGCUGGCCCACCCUUCCCUAAUAGAGCCCCCUCUCUCCACGAAGGAUUCCUUGGGCAGAAAGUGGGCAGAAUCCAUCUCCCCCAGGGCCCUGCUCCAACCCCUUCUGGGGAGUCUUACCAGGGCUGGGGGCCAGGCCGGCCCCUGUGGGUGCAUUUAUGGUACAGUUGCCGGUUGUACUGGAAAGGGAAGUAGCAGGGCUCCCCAGUGACAGUGAGAACUGCAGAGAUAACACACUCCCUGAUGGUAUGCCCCAUGUCCCCCUGCCCAGGUACCACCUCUCACAGUCUGGUUGAAAAAUAGACCCUUGAAACAAUUGCUGUGCCUUCAAGACUGCUUCUUGCUUCAGAGCUUCAGUUCUGUAGUCAGACAUUUGGAGUGGACUCCUGAUUUCACCACCCUACUAGUUGUGUGACCUUGAUUUCACCACCUACUAGUUUGUGACCUUGGGCAAAUUUGCAGCCCCCAGGCCUAGAACAGUGCUUGCCAUAAAGUAGGCACUUAAAAAAUACUAGGUGAAUGUAGAAGUCACUUGGCCACUCUAAGCCUUAGUUUCCUCACCUGUAAAAUGGCAAUGAUCAUAGUAUAGUUGACCUUUGAAAAACACAAGUUUGAACCAUACUCACUAUGGUGGAUUAUAUGUGGAUUUUUUCCAAUAAGUACAGUACUAUAAAUGUGUUUUCCUUAUGAUUUUCUUAAAAACAUUUUCUUUUCUCUAGCUUACUUUAUUGCAAGAAUACAAUUUAUAAUACAUUUAACAUACAAAAUAUGUGUUAAUCGACUGUUUACAAUGUCAGUAAGGCUUCUGGUCAGUAGGCUAUUAGUAGUUAAAUUUGGGGGAGUCAAAAGUUCUACAAGGAUUUUCUACUGCUAACCUUCUUGUUCAAGGGUCAACUAUACAGUUGAAGAAUUUUAAUUUUGCAAGAUGAAAAAGGUUCUGGAAAUGGAGGGUGGUAAUGGUUGCAGGACAAUAGAAUGUCCUUAAUACCAUGGAAUUGUAUGCUUAAGAAUUAUUAUGAUAGCAAAUUUUAUAUUAUGCAUAUUUCAUAAUAAAAAUAACUUUUAUUUUUUGAA